rnacentral:rRNA from 1 species
UUGGUCAUUUAGAGGAAGUAAAAGUCGUAACAAGGUCUCCGUUGGUGAACCAGCGGAGGGAUCAUUACUGAGUACUACACUCUCUACCCUUUGUGAACUAUCAUACCUGUUGCUUCGGCGGCGCCCGCGAGGGUGCCCGCCGGUCUCAUCAGAAUCUCUGUUUUCGAACCCGACGAUACUUCUGAGUGUUCUUAGCGAACUGUCAAAACUUUUAACAACGGAUCUCUUGGCUCCAGCAUCGAUGAAGAACGCAGCGAAACGCGAUAUGUAAUGUGAAUUGCAGAAUUCAGUGAAUCAUCGAAUCUUUGAACGCACAUGGCGCCUUCCAGUAUCCUGGGAGGCAUGCCUGUCCGAGCGUCGUUUCAACCCUCGAGCCCCCGUGGCCCGGCGUUGGAGAUCUGCCACGGCAGUCUCCCAAAAUCAGUGGCGGACCCGAAGGCCCUCUCCUUUGCGCAGUAGCAUCAGCCUCGCAUUGGGAUCCCUCGGCGUCCUGCCUCUAAACCCCCCACAAGCCCGCUCCGGCGGCACCAAGGUUGACCUCGGAUCAGGUAGGAAUACCCGCUGAACUUAAGCAUAUCAAUAAGCGGAGGAACCC